GAUGAACGCUGGCGGCGUGCUUAACACAUGCAAGUCGAACGGAAAGGCCCAAGCUUGCUUGGGUACUCGAGUGGCGAACGGGUGAGUAACACGUGGGUGAUCUGCCCUGCACUUCGGGAUAAGCCUGGGAAACUGGGUCUAAUACCGGAUAGGACCACUUCUUGGAUGUUGUGGUGGAAAGUUUUUUCGGUGUGGGAUGAGCUCGCGGCCUAUCAGCUUGUUGGUGGGGUAAUGGCCUACCAAGGCGUCGACGGGUAGCCGGCCUGAGAGGGUGUACGGCCACAUUGGGACUGAGAUACAGGCCAGACUCCUACGGGAGGCAGCAGUGGGGAAUAUUGCACAAUGGGCGCAAGCCUGAUGCAGCGACGCCGCGUGGGGGAUGACGGCCUUCGGGUUGUAAGCUCCUUUCGCUAGGGACGAAGCGUUUUUGUGACGGUACCUGGAGAAGAAGCACCGGCUAACUACGUG
rnacentral:rRNA from 1 species